GAUGAACGCUGGCGGCGUGCUUAACACAUGCAAGUCGAACGGAAAGGCCUCCGCUUGCAGGGGUACUCGAGUGGCGAACGGGUGAGUAACACGUGGGUGAUCUGCCCUGCACUUCGGGAUAAGCCUGGGAAACUGGGUCUAAUACCGGAUAGGACAAUGGUUUGGAUGCUGUUGUGGAAAGUUUUUCGGUGUGGGAUGAGCUCGCGGCCUAUCAGCUUGUUGGUGGGGUAAUGGCCUACCAAGGCGUCGACGGGUAGCCGGCCUGAGAGGGUGUACGGCCACAUUGGGACUGAGAUACGGCCCAGACUCCUACGGGAGGCAGCAGUGGGGAAUAUUGCACAAUGGGCGCAAGCCUGAUGCAGCGACGCCGCGUGGGGGAUGACGGCCUUCGGGUUGUAAACUCCUUUCGCUAGGGACGAAGCGUUUUUGUGACGGUACCUGGAGAAGAAGCACCGGCUAACUACGUG
rnacentral:rRNA from 1 species